ACCCCGCCUCCUCCCCACAGCCAGCCAGUCGCAGGCCAGGCGGAGAACGGAGGCCCCGCCCCUUCUCUUCUUUCGGAUUGCGGGGGUGGAGGUGCGUUCCGGCUCGUCUUUACUCGCAAGGAAGCCCUGCAAGGUCCCCCACGGGGCGCCAGCCCAGAGCUGUUGUGUUAGCCCACAGUGCCUCCAAAAUAAAAUCGUGUCUGGAGAGGAACCAAAUGGAGGUCAAACUCAGUGUCCAAACACGUUGGACUAGAUGCCCCUCAGGGGCCCUUCCAACUCUGCAGUUCUAAUUCUGUGAAGUGGCUGGGCUUGAACUAAUUUAUUAUCACUGCAAACCUGCAUUGCGUAGCAGGAUUCUACAGUCAGUACAUUUCUGCAGUUCUUUUUUAUUACUGUGUUCUUAGGGUUUUUUCCAAUGUUAGUUCUACUCAAAGUAGGCCCACUGGAAUUUAUAGACAUGACUAAAUUUGGUUCAUUCAUUUUGGUGGGUCUGUUCUGAGAAAACAGUUGGAUAUAACCUUUACAAUAAAGUAGUACAAUCAAAUGGCUUGUUGAACAAUGUCCUCAAUCCAUCUAUCUCUCAAAACUAUAGACCCUUCUUGUGUGAAAUCGCAUUCGACUUCACCAAAUCCUGUUGCACAAUACAGUACAAGGCAACAGCUACUGCAGAGAGCUAUCUACAUAAAGGCUGAGCAAAUGCACAUGAGAUCAUAUACCAAGGAGCAAUAAUAAAAAAACCACAAUGUAUAAGAGUACUUAGGCAUAUUGACAAUCCUUUGGAUUUAUCCUUGGUCAGCUAUUGAGUGAAGAUAACCUAGGCAGAUAGGUGCAGAAGCCAACUACUGCCUGUUUGAACUACUAUACCUUGAUAAUGUGGUAUAAUUGAGAUCUAAAAAUAAAUUGGGAUCUGUAUGAUUAAUACUUGUGUUUGUUUUCUUUUUGGGAUAAGAAUGGAGAUAUGGAGGGAAACAGAAGUAGAACAAAAUAUGUUUAAGACAACUUUAUUUUGGGAUAAGGGAAGUAACAGCAUCAUGAGAAUGUUAGUAAGUAUAAUGCAUUUAACAUUUUACUGGAUACUUUUAUUUACUUAAUCCACACUCAGAAUCAAUGCUUAGAUUUUGUGCCCUGUGGACACAGACAUGGGUUUACCAUAAAGCCACAGGACAGGAAGAAAGCUGGGAAACCAGCAAGAUAAUGGAGUGAAUUCCCCACAUUUUCCACAUGUCUAGCCUAUUAGCAUCUUAAAAAGCAGAGACAUCCCCUUGCCAACAAAGGUCCGUAUAGUUAAAGCUAUGGUUUUCCCAGUAGUGAUGUAUGGAAGUGAGAGCUGGACCAUAAAGAAGGCUGAUCGCCGAAGAAUUGAUGCUUUUGAAUUAUGGUGCUGGAGGAGACUCUUGAGAGUCCCAUGGACUGCAAGAAGAUCAAACCUACCCAUUCUUAAGGAAAUCAGCCCUGAGUGCUCACUGGAAGGACAGAUCCUGAAGCUGAGGCUCCAGUACUUUGGCCACCUCAUGAGAAGAGAAGACUCCCUGGAAAAGACCUUGAUGUUGGGAAAGAUGGAGGGCACAAGGAGAAGGGGAUGACAGAGGACGAGAUGGUUGGACAGUGUUCUCGAAGCCACCAACAUGAGUCUGACCAAACUGUGGGAGGCAGUGGAAGACAGGAGUGCCUGGCGUGCUCUGGUCCAUGGGGUCACAAAGAGUCGGACACAACUAAACAACAACAACUUUAGCCUAUUAAAUUCAGCACCAAGUUUAGUCUAGUAGGAAAGGAGAAAAAAUCUGGCGCUCUCUGCUUCUGCAUGGGAAAAUCAUAACUGUCUAUUGGAGGUCCUUCUGCUUUUCCUUUGGAAAGGGCCACUUGUUGUAAUCCCUCUGUCUUGAGAGACAGGAAUGAAGUGAAACUACUGGAGAAUCACAGUGACUGCAAGGACUGGUAGCUCAUAACUGCUGCCUGCUGCAUUGUUUUUUCUGCAUUAGCAGCAGCAAGGUUACCUCUCCAGGUGACAAGAACCCCCCCCCCCCCUCGGUGCUCUGCUGGUGUUGUCCAAAGGAAAGCAGAGCAAUACUUUGGGCACCAGCUUAGCUACAGGACUUGCCCAAAGGAGGCGUACAAGGCACCAUCCAACCGUUUUAGGGACGCCACUCUGGAUUUGUGUAGGGUUUACUCCUUAGCCUUUUCUUUUCCCAGUGGUGCCCCAUAAGGCAGUGGGUGCAGAUUUUUGCUCAGGGUUUACACCUGAAGCCUUUCUCAUGAAUGAGUAUAGCCGCAAGGCAGCGGGGAAUUAGGAUCAGUGUUUUCCUUCUCUUAGAUGGGCUCCCUUCCCAGAUUGAUGAGCCCCAUCUGCCCCUCAUUUCCCUAUACAGCACAUGCAGAAACUGCUGUCUUGCCCCAUUGGACCCACUAUUGAUCUUGUACAGUCCCUAAUUCAUUGGGGUUUUGAGACCCAUCGGCUGGCCAGUCGAAGCUGUUUCCCAGGGUAUGGUUGCUGUCACAUGCUGACAGCCUAGGAGCCACAGGUGAGAGCUGAGUGUAGGGUGGGAACUGAAGAUGGACAAACUAAUCCAGAAGGAGCACGGCAUGUCCCACACCAGAGGUACUACCCAACCCCAUAUCCCCUGCUUGUAUUCAGAGAGAAAAGGCCUGCUUCUGCCUUGAUUUCCACAGCAACAAAAUCCAUUGCUCCUAUGCAGAAGUUUCUUCUUGGAGCCUACCAAACUACAGAAUACAGACUUUGCUAUUCCUUGAUAACAACUUACAUAUGUUCUGAUUGAUACACUGCUUACAAAAUUCCCCACAACAAGCUCUCUGUUGUUUUUUAUGCUUGUCUGUUUUUUCACAUUGCUUGCCCGUUUUGUCCUGGCAUAUAAUUUAUUGCAUCUUCUAAUUGCUUUACAAUGAAAAUAUAAGGUUCAGGUCUAAGCAAGGAGUACAGAGUAGAUAACCACACAGUUUAAUAUCAUUACCUUUAUUCCAAAGUCCAGACCGGACUUUAAGAAUCAAUGCUGAUAUUCAGUAACUAUGAUAUGCUGUUUAUCCAUGCUGCUGAAGCAAAUUGUGAAAGUGCAUUUCAGUCUAGUUUCUCAAGGAGAAGUAUUAACCUGCUUAUCAAUACCCAAUACUACUCUCAAGAACAAUAUUGGUGUGGAAAGCCUGCUUUGCCUUGAAUUAUCAAUUUGAUAUGUCUUUGUGAGAGAGAGGAAUGUUAUGUUCAUUUGUUAUUUCUGCCACCAUUAUGCCAAAGCACUCACAGUAGUUUACAUUUUAUAAGAAGAGUUUAUAUAAUCUUAAGAGACAUAAUUUUAAAAAGGAAUCGAGAUGAAACAGGAAGAUCAGCAAAUCCAAGUGCCAACUCUUUCUUACCUAACACAACACAGUACUGUUACAUAAGGACCAGGUGGAAGCUUGUUGUGGGGAUUAUGCUAGGAGGGGAGGAGCUAAAUGACAGUUUUUCCGAGCCAAGAACAGUGUCUCACUUCUCUUGUAAGGCUCAGCCAGCUUCCCCAGCGGAACUUGCUGAUGGAUUAACAGAUUCAGUUUCUCAAGUCUGUUUGCCUGCUACUCUCCUGCUGUCUGCUGCCUUGGAAAUAAACCUCUUGAGGCAACCACCUCUCCUUGCCUUACUUGGGGUUGCAUCAAUGCAAAAUAAAAUUUUAAAGUAGGAGCAGUAAAACAACAGACUAUAUGCAAGUGGCGGGGAAGGGGGGGGGAAUCUGAAAAUGGUGUUCUCUGUUGUAUCAAGACUCCUUUGCUUUUGGUAAAUUGCACCAAUUCUGUUACUCUGCAGUUUUGCGGAUCAUUGAUUUGCAUAAAUUCAACUGUGAUCUAUAUAUUUUAAAAUGAAAUUGUGUUUCUUUGUUUGAUUUAACUGUGCGGUCUUAUGCACCAUUUGGCAUACAUAUAACUACAUUUUAUUUACCAUCCCCCUUUAAAUUGGUAGCACUUGUCCUGAUGUAAAACACAUACAGCAAAUUUACAUAAUGCCCUUAUGAGACUUUUCUUAAUGAAAAGCCUUAAAUUAAAGAGUGCUAUAAAUAUAUUAGCAAUCAAAGAGCAAAUAAUAGCAGUGAACGUAUCUCUGCAGAGCAGUUGUUGAGAUCCAUUUCUUACUGUCAGUGUCAGUGCAUGGCACACAGUCCUAAUUAACAUGCUGAAUUUAAUGUUUAAAUUUUAAUAAAUUUAUAUGCAAUGAAA